rnacentral:rRNA from 28 species
UUAAAUUGAAGAGUUUGAUCAUGGCUCAGAUUGAACGCUGGCGGCAGGCCUAACACAUGCAAGUCGAACGGUAACAGGAAGCA